ACCAACAGCCUCUGUACAUGUAUCAUCUGUGUGAAGUGGAAAAUUUAUAUUCUGUUGAGUCAAUAAUAUAAUUAUUUAAAUGCUGAUCAUGUUGCACAUGAUUCAACAGAAUAUCAAUUUUCCACUUCACACGGAUGAUACAUGUACGAAGCUGUUGGU